AUUGAACGCUGGCGGCAUGCUUUACACAUGCAAGUCGAACGGUAACAGGCCGCAGGGUGCUGACGAGUGGCGAACGGGUGAGUAAUGCAUCGGAACGUGCCCAGUCGUGGGGGAUAACGCAGCGAAAGCUGCGCUAAUACCGCAUACGAUCUCUGGAUGAAAGCGGGGGACCGAAAGGCCUCGCGCGAUUGGAGCGGCCGAUGUCAGAUUAGGUAGUUGGUGGGGUAAAGGCCCACCAAGCCAACGAUCUGUAGGUGGUCUGAGAGGACGACCAGCCACACUGGGACUGAGACACGGCCCAGACUCCUACGGGAGGCAGCAGUGGGGAAUUUUGGACAAUGGGCGCAAGCCUGAUCCAGCAAUGCCGCGUGCAGGAAGAAGGCCUUCGGGUUGUAAAGCUCUUUUGUCAGGGAAGAAACGGCUGUGGAUAAUAUCCACGGCUAAUGACGGUACCUGAAGAAUAAGCACCGGCUAACUACGUGCCAGCCGCCGCCGUAACA
rnacentral:rRNA from 1 species